rnacentral:rRNA from 1 species
UAAAACGUAGGAGGCGAGCGUUAUCCGGAUUUACUGGGCGUAAAGCGUGUGUAGGCGGUUUGAUAAGUUGGAUGUGAAAGCUCCUGGCUUAACUGGGAGAGGUCGUUCAAAACUAUCAGACUUGAGAGUGGUAGAGGGAGGUGGAAUUCCGGGUGUAGUGGUGAAAUGCGUAGAUAUCCGGAGGAACACCAGUGGCGAAAGCGGCCUCCUGGCCCAUUUCUGACGCUCAGACACGAAAGCUAAGGUAGCAAACGGGAUUAGAGACCCCGGUAGUCUUAGCUGUAAACGAUGUGAACUUAGUGUCGGUGGGGUUAAAUCCAUCGGUACUGAAGCUAACGCGAUAAGUUCACCGCCUGGGGACUACGGCCGCAAGGUUAAAACUCAAAUGAAUUGACGG